UACGAAGGGGGCUAGCGUUGCUCGGAAUCACUGGGCGUAAAGCGCACGUAGGCGGGUCUUUAAGUCAGGGGUGAAAUCCUGGAGCUCAACUCCAGAACUGCCUUUGAUACUGAGGAUCUCGAGUCCGGGAGAGGUGAGUGGAAUUCCCAGUGUAGAGGUGAAAUUCGUAGAUAUUGGGAAGAACACCGGUGGCGAAAGCGAGGCCCUGGACCCUUUCUGACGCUGAGACGCGAAAGCCAGGGAGCGAACGGG
rnacentral:rRNA from 1 species